rnacentral:rRNA from 1 species
GACGAACGCUGGCGGCGUGCUUAACACAUGCAAGUCGAACGGAAAGGCCCUGCUUUUGUGGGGUGCUCGAGUGGCGAACGGGUGAGUAACACGUGAGUAACCUGCCCUUGACUUUGGGAUAACUUCAGGAAACUGGGGCUAAUACCGGAUAGGAGCUCCUGCUGCAUGGUGGGGGUUGGAAAGUUUCGGCGGUUGGGGAUGGACUCGCGGCUUAUCAGCUUGUUGGUGGGGUAGUGGCUUACCAAGGCUUUGACGGGUAGCCGGCCUGAGAGGGUGACCGGCCACAUGGGGACUGAGAUACGGCCCAGACUCCUACGGGAGGCAGCAGUGGGGAAUAUUGCAAAAUGGGGGGAAGCCUGAUGCAGCACCGCCGGGGGGGGGAUGACGGCCUUCGGGUGGUAAACCGCUUUCGCCUGUGACGAAGGGUGAGUGACGGUAAUGGGUAAAGAAGCCCCGGCUAACUACGU